GCGGGUAUAGCUCAGUGGCAGAGCGCAUGCUUAGCAUGCAUAAGGUCCCGGGUUCAAUCCUCAGUACCUCCA
rnacentral:tRNA from 1 species